GCCAACUGGACAAUCUCUGGGGGAGAGUCUAGAAAUCUCACUCUUCUUCACCUUACCACCAGGCUGCUGUUGAACAACCAAGCAUUGAGAAAUGGAGGGACUCGCAGUUUUCAGUGAAGGCCCACAAUGUGGCAGCGCCC
rnacentral:lncRNA from 1 species